UGGGGAUAAGAAAAAUAACAAAACAUGGAUUAACAAUUGAUCAUAUGAUGUGUUGGAGUCAAACAUGGAAAGAGUUGUGUACUGUUUGGGUUUUAGAGCAUUAUCAUUGUGUUUUUUGUUGGAGAUAAAGGGACAAAGCCCAUUUAUAUUUGUUUGGCAUAUUCUUUUUUUUUUCUUUUUAAGUUUUGUAAUAAUACUGUCGUCAUAUAUUU
rnacentral:lncRNA from 1 species